AACGAACGCUGGCGGCAGGCUUAACACAUGCAAGUCGAACGCCCCGCAAGGGGAGUGGCAGACGGGUGAGUAACGCGUGGGAACAUACCCUUUCCUGCGGAAUAGCUCCGGGAAACUGGAAUUAAUACCGCAUACGCCCUACGGGGGAAAGAUUUAUCGGGGAAGGAUUGGCCCGCGUUGGAUUAGCUAGUUGGUGGGGUAAAGGCCUACCAAGGCGACGAUCCAUAGCUGGUCUGAGAGGAUGAUCAGCCACAUUGGGACUGAGACACGGCCCGAACUCCUACGGGAGGCAGCAGUGGGGAAUAUUGGACAAUGGGCGCAAGCCUGAUCCAGCCAUGCCGCGUGAGUGAUGAAGGCCUUAGGGUUGUAAAGCUCUUUCACCGAUGAAGAUAGUGACGGUAGUCGGAGAAGAAGCCCCGGCUAACUUCGUGCCAGCCGCCGCCGUAAGAC
rnacentral:rRNA from 1 species